UUAGGAAUAUUGCGCAAUGGGGGCAACCCUGACGCAGCAACGCCGCGUGAGUGAAGAAGGCCUUCGGGUUGUAAAGCUCUUUUGACAGGGACGACACACGACGGUACCUGUCGAAUAAGCACCGGCUAACUCUGUGCCAGCAGCCGCGGUAAUACAGAGGGUGCAAGCGUUAUUCGGAAUUAUUGGGCGUAAAGAGCGCGUAGGCGGCUUAGCAAGUUUAGUGUGAAAUCCCUGGACUCAAUCCAGGAAGUGCAUUGAAUACUGCUAGGCUAGAGUGCGGGAGAGGAGAGUGGAAUUCCUGGUGUAGAGGUGAAAUUCGUAGAUAUCAGGAGGAACAACAGAGGCGAAGGCGACUCUCUGGACCGCUACUGACGCUGAGGCGCGAAAGUGUGGGGAGCAAACAG
rnacentral:rRNA from 1 species